rnacentral:lncRNA from 1 species
CUUGUGUCCAUCCUCCAUUCAAGAGUGAACAUCAUUCAGGCCAAGUAAACCUGCAUCGGCCCCCGUGCAUAGGCUGCAAUGAAGAGAUGGGAACGGCCAGCCUGCCCAGGACAGAGGCUGAGAACUGGGGAAUCACAGCCAGCAGUAAGAUGGCUUUGGCUGCAGAGAGAAUGGAUCGUAGGACCACAGGCUGGAGGAGGCUGGAGGGAGUGUGGCAUCAUGGGCCAUUACAAAAGGUUUCCUAGGAACGCUCUGGUUUUGGACAGCGGGGGAAACCCGUACAUGGUGGGCAGGAGCAUCCUGAUCUGCGACGACAGAGGGACGCCGAGAGGAAUCUGAAUGAACAGGCCUCGCUAAGCGUCCCCCAGUCUACUGCACUUCCCUCAUGCCAUUUGUCCAUGACGUCUCUCUGCGACUGUCCACUCUUCAUCAGACCUAGCAUAAAAACGCUCAGGUUUAACUGCUCUUUCUGGUCUUCAUUUCCUCAUGAAGACUCUCGUGUUAUAUAAAAC